rnacentral:rRNA from 1 species
GACGAACGCUGGCGGCGUGCCUAAUACAUGCAAGUCGAGCGCAGGAAACUGACGGAACUCUUCGGAGGGAAGGCAGUGGAAUGAGCGGCGGACGGGUGAGUAACACGUAAGGAACCCGCCUCAAGGAUUGGGAUAACUCCGAGAAAUCGGAGCUAAUACCGGAUAGUUCAACGGACCGCAUGGUCCGCUGAUGAAAGGCGCUUCGGCGUCACCUUGAGAUGGCCUUGCGGUGCAUUAGCUAGUUGGUGGGGUAACGGCCCACCAAGGCGACGAUGCAUAGCAGACCUGACAGGGUGAUCGGCCACACUGGGACUUAGACACGGCCCAGACUCCUACGGGAGGCAGCAGUAGGGAAUCUUCCACAAUGAACGAAAGUCUGAUGGAGCAACGCCGCGUGAGUGAUGAAGGUGUUCGGAUCGUAAAACUCUGUUGUAAGGGAAGAACACGUACGAGAGGGAAUGCUCGUACCUUGACGGUACCUUACGGGAAAGCCACGGCUAACUACGUGCCAGCCGCCGCAGUAA